CGCGGCUGCCGGGGGCAUUUUUGUGAUUUGCAGCUCGUGGUCUGGGUCCAGUUGCAUAGUCACAAAAGUGAUCGUCGGCGGCCGCG
rnacentral:pre_miRNA from 14 species